rnacentral:lncRNA from 1 species
UUUAAUGAGAUGGAAAGUCUUGUUAAUGAGCCAUCCGAUGAGAAACAGUGCGGUGACAUACAUAAAUUCUUCCUCGCCUUUCAUUAUGGUAUUAGAGCCUAUGGCAGAAAAUCAAACCCAACCAAAAUUCAAUAUCAAAUCGUUUUACCAAUGCGCCAAUCUAAUUUCCAUCAAGCUUACAUCAAACAACUAUCUCCUUUGGAAGUCUCAAGUGUUAGGAAAUUUUAAUCUUAUCCAAGAUCUUGUGAGUAAAAUUAUCAAAUAAAUAAUAAACAGAAAAUAAAUGGAAAAUAAAAUCAAUCACACAAUACAAUAAUUUACAUGGAAAGCUCAUUACUGGAGAAAAAAAACCGCUGCUAAGGACAACAAGAGAAAAAUCUACUAUAUGAAAAGUUAUUACAACAAACAACUCUCUUCUUUGGAAGUCUCAGGUGUUAUGAAAUUUUAAUCCUACCUAAGAUCUUGUAAAGAAAAAAAAAACAAACAAAGAACAGAAAAUAAAUAAAGAAUAAAAUCAAUCACACAGUGAAAAAUCACCUAUAUCGGAGAAAAACUACGACCACCAAGAACGACAAGAGAAAAAUCUACUAUGUAAAAAAUUAUUAAAAUCACUCUAGUAGUUUCCUCACAUUCAAAACCCUAAUAACAUCCAAUCUCUCAAUACACCUACUGUUUCUCUCACAUUAUAAACUAUCGACUUGCAAAGAAUUAAUUGUUGUAUUAUACUCUAUAAACAAGUGAACCCAACCUCCCUAUAUAUAGUAAUUAUUUCUUGAAAGAAAAGUAUUAUUUUACUUAUACUAGUUGUACUUUUCCUUGUAUAAGUUAAGUGUCAAAGGAAAAAUUACAUAUUCCUUAAAUAGGAAUCCCACUAAAAAAUAAAAUAUUUUACGAAAUCCUUAUUGAAAAAUACAUAUUUCUUAACAUCAAGUUCUUUCCAUAUUUUAAAGCCUUGGACUAGAACAUCACCUUACCUAAAUUGAGACGCCUCCAAAAAUGAUCAUGCAAGAUGGAAAAGAAACAAUCAAUCCCUUAGUUUAACCCACCCCAAACUCCCAGGGCGAGUCUAUCCAGUCUCAUCAAAACUGAAUCGAUAAUAAUCUAAUUAGUAAGGAUUCUACCAAAAAUUCUGAAAAGUCUCCUUUAUGAAUAUAUCACUCUCAAAAUAAUUCAAUAUACAACUAACUCCAAUGAUCAACAUCCUCAACCAAAAUACUGAGUUUUAUCCAAAAUACCUUCAGAGUAUCAAAAGAUUAUAUUAUAACUAAUAUCAAUAUACAUUAGUUUAUUCUUAAACUCAAAAGAAUAAUACAACAAAAUUAUACAAUUCCAAAAAAAUGAGAUGAUUAGAAGGUUCUAACAAAAAUCAUCUAUAUAUUCUAAUACCAUCACAUGACCAAGAUUCAAAAUAUAUCUACAGUCACUGUUGGGUCGAUUAGAUGUACCUACAACCUCUUGUGUGAGGUGGAAUAUUAUAAAACGGGAGGAGUAUAAAACUCAGUGAGUGGAUAAUAGUUUUUGAAAAUAAACUUACUUCAAAAUAAUUAUAUCUUGUUAGUAAAUAUCUUUAUCAAAAUAACAUAAGAAGACUUAAAUAAACUUUUUUAAUUAUAAAUCAUACACUGACAUAAACAUAAUAUAUAAUGUCACAUAAAAUUAAGAAAGUUAUAAAUCCAUUACUCAAAAACUGAAUUCUAAAAUCUGUCACUAAACAAGUACCCAGGAGAAUAAUCUCGUCAUAUCUGGACCUCAACGGAUAAGCAAUGACGUACUAUCUAAGUACUGUCAUGCCUCAGAACUACAUGGAUAGACAGGGAAAUGAUAUCUCAUGUCUCAUCAUAUCUGUGCACACAUUAUAUAGUCCCCAAAGGACAAAACGCCCAAGCAGACGACUCAAAACCUCUGUGUGUACUCAGACAGGCCUCAAAGACCUGCGUCUCAGCUAUAUCAUUGUUAUCAUCAUAUCACAUGCAUAUACCCCCAAAAGGCAGAAGCGCCCAAACACACAGUUCAAAACUUCUGUGUUCAAAUGGACCUCAAAGGUCUCAUCAUAUUUGUAUCACUGUAACCAGGGAAGGAUAUUGUCUAAUGAUUUUAAAACAAUCUUUAUACUCGUAUUCAUAUACCAUUUAACCAUAAUUUAAAUCAUAAUUUUCCUUUCAUUGACACAUUUGAAUCCACUUGUCUUAUCUUUAAGAUACUAUCUGAUUUUAUAUUAAAUCAACACGGAAAACCAGCAACCAAACACUUGUUAAAUAACAAAUCAAUACGUAAAUAAAAUCCAUUUCAAGAAAAAUUUGAGUAUUUAAAAUACUUAUUUCAUAAACAUGUUUUACUAUCGUAAUAAACUAUGAAAAUAAGUUUUGUAUAUUCCACUCACAGUGACAACGCUCAAACUCGAUUAUCGUCCAUGCCUGCAAACCGAUUCUCGCUCGUGAAUCCUCCUAAAUUAAGGAAACAACAUAAUUAUUUUUCGUAAAUUGGAAUUAGGACUAAAUUUAUUCAAUAAACUCGAAAUGAAUAUCUAUCUAUAAUAUACAACUCUUGCAUCAAUAAAAUUACCAAAACACCCUCGCAUCCGUAAAUUAUUACAGUACUCCGAAAUCGUAAACCACUGAAUUAUCCUUAGGAUCGUAAUUACCAACCCAUCCUUAAUUUUGGGAAUUACUAAAAUAUCUACAGGGUCAUAAAUUACAAAAUCACCCUCAAAAUGUGAAGACACUGAAUUGCCCUUGUUGGUCAACGUUGACCGAAUUUUAGUUAACGGUGGCCGGGAAGCUCGGGUCUGAUAGUUCCAACCACGCUGAGUCUAAUAGUGCUGGCGGUGAGUUCCCACGCGCAGCAACAACGGCUGAUCGAACUUCCAAAGCCGCAAGCUUUCCGGCGGUCAUUCGCGGCCAAAACGGCUGUUUUAGGUGGGGUUGGUUGGAAAAUGAUGAGGGUGAGCUAAGGAUCAAGAUCCAGGUGGUGGCGUCACCCAAAAUCGGUGGAAUCGACAGCGAGAAGGGGUGGGUUUUACUGCGGCUUAUCGAGCUUGAUUGCCGGCAUUUUGACUGUUGCUCGGCAAGGGUGAUGGCUGGGAUACGACGGCCGGUCUUCAAGCUUCAGAUUGGUACCUUGCUCGGCCGGUGAUGUGGCCGGAAAUUGGAGGGCAAAGGCUCGCCCCAUUCCGAGUCCGGCGGACGAACUUGGGUUCGUGGGUUUGGGUCGGGUUCGUGGGUUUGGGUCGGUUUUGAUAGCUUACUCACUCUCACGUGUGAACAUGCUUCCCCCUUUUGAUAGCUUCUUCUUUUAUUUAUUUUAUUUUUUAACCGCCUCUCUUUUUUUUUUUU